UUACCCGGGUGGGUCCUGCCCCUGCACCCAACCUGCUCCCCCCUCCCCAGGUGGGUCCUCCCCGUGCCUCCACACCGGGGCCCUGCCAGCAUCCCUGGCGCCCCUUCCCGCAAUGGCCAUCACAGCCUCCACGCUGGUCCAGAGCCCCUCCCAGGGCCUCCAGCCCCCUCUCUCCCACUCUCCCCUCCCCGGAGAAGGUGGCUCUCCCAAGUCCCCCCCCCCCCCCCCCCCCCCCCCCCACCUGCCCUGAAUCCCAGCCGCCCAGCCUCAGCCACAUGGCCCUGCUGCUGCACACCUCCCUUCCGGGCCUGGCUCUCUCCACCCACCCCAGGGGGGUCUUUGUCUCUGCCCUCACUGCCCAGCCCCCAUGGCCAUGCUUGGACACUGGUGGUGUCCCCAUCCACAUGGGCAAGUUCCCCGGCUGGUGCGGCCUCCCUGAACUGUGGCCUCAUGAAAAGGCCAAGCCCAGUCCACCGCCCAUGAGGUUGCGGAGGUGGGCCCUGAGGCUGGAAGGACCGCCUCUGUGUGGAACAAGGUAUUUAUGGCUUUCAUUUGCCUGACUUCCAUACGGGCCGGGCUCCCGGUGUGUCCAUCGUCACGGUGAUGCCCUGCGUUCCUGCCUGCUGCCCGCGCCUGUGAGAAACACUUCUGGUGAAGACCACUCAGGGCUCUUGAGAGCCGUGCUUUAGCGGGUUAUAGACCUAUCCACCUCUCCCUACCUUACUAAGAAUCAGCAGCUUUUCCCCGCGUACUCAUUACACUUCAACUUUACAAAAUUGUU